rnacentral:rRNA from 1 species
UGGGGAAUUUUGCGCAAUGGGGGAAACCCUGACGCAGCAACGCCGCGUGGAGGAUGAAGUCCCUUGGGACGUAAACUCCUUUCGACCGGGACGAUAAUGACGGUACCGGUGGAAGAAGCCCCGGCUAACUUCGUGCCAGCAGCCGCGGUAAUACGAGGGGGGCGAGCGUUGUUCGGAAUUAUUGGGCGUAAAGGGCGCGUAGGCGGUGCGGUAAGUCACCUGUGAAACCUCUGGGCUCAACUCAGAGCCUGCAGGCGAAACUGCCGUGCUGGAGUGUGGGAGAGGUGCGUGGAAUUCCCGGUGUAGCGGCGAAAUGCGUAGAUAUCGGGAGGAACACCUGUGGCGAAAGCGGCGCACUGGACCACAACUGACGCUGAGGCGCGAAAGCUAGGGGAGCAAACAGGAUUAGAUACCCUGGUAGUCCUAGCCCUAAACUAUGGAUGCUUGGUGUGUCGGGUACCCAAUCCCGACGUGCCGAAGCUAACGCGAUAAGCAUCCCGCCUGGGGAGUACGGUCG